rnacentral:rRNA from 1 species
UACGUAGGUGGCGAGCGUUAUCCGGAAUUACUGGGCGUAAAGGGUGCGUAGGUGGUUUCUUAAGUCAGAGGUGAAAGGCUACGGCUCAACCGUAGUAAGCCUUUGAAACUGGGAAACUUGAGUGCAGGAGAGGAGAGUGGAAUUCCUAGUGUAGCGGUGAAAUGCGUAGAUAUUAGGAGGAACACCAGUUGCGAAGGCGGCUCUCUGGACUGUAACUGACACUGAGGCACGAAAGCGUGGGGAGCAAACAGGAUUAGAUACCCGUGUAGUCCCUGAG